AUUGAACGCUGGCGGCAGGCCUAACACAUGCAAGUCGAGCGAGCGGCGGACGGGUGAGUAAUGUAUGGGGACUGCCCGCUAGCGGGGGAUAACUACUGGAAAAGGUGGCUAAUACCGCAUACUCUAGGGGAACCCAUAUGGGAUUAGCUAGUAGGUGGGGUAAAGGCUCACCUAGGCGACAAGCUCUAGCUGGUCUGAGAGGAUGAUCAGCCAAACUGGGACUGAGACACGGCCCAGACUCCUACGGAGGCAGCAGUGGGGAAUAGUGCACAAUGGGGGCAAGCCUGAUGCAGCCAUGCCGCGUGUAUGAAGAAGGCCUUAGGGUUGGAAAGUACUUUCAGCGGGGAGGCGUUACCCGCAGAAGAAGCACCGGCUAACUCCGUGCCAGCCGCCGCGGUAAUAC
rnacentral:rRNA from 1 species